rnacentral:tRNA from 1 species
GCCCCCGUAGCUCAGCGGAUAGAGCACCGGCCUCCGGAGCCGGGAGCGCAGGUUCGAGUCCUGCCGGGGGCG